rnacentral:rRNA from 1 species
GAUGAACGCUGGCGGCGUGCCUAAUACAUGCAAGUCGAGCGAACAGACGAGGAGCUUGCUCCUCUGACGUUAGCGGCGGACGGGUGAGUAACACGUGGAUAACCUACCUAUAAGACUGGGAUAACUUCGGGAAACCGGAGCUAAUACCGGAUAAUAUAUUGAACCGCAUGGUUCAAUAGUGAAAGACGGUUUUGCUGUCACUUAUAGAUGGAUCCGCGCCGCAUUAGCUAGUUGGUAAGGUAACGGCUUACCAAGGCAACGAUGCGUAGCCGACCUGAGAGGGUGAGCGGCCACACUGGAACUGAGACACGGUCCAGACUCCUACGGGAGGCAGCAGUAGGGAAUCUUCCGCAAUGGGCGAAAGCUUGACGGAGCAACGCCGCGUUAGUGAUGAAGGUCUUCGGAUCGUAAAACUCUGUUAUUAGGGAAGAACAAAUGUGUAAGUAACUAUGCACGUCUUGACGGUACCUAAUCAGAAAGCCACGGCUAACUACGUG